CUGUGAUGGGAGUCACAGCACACAGUGCCGCUCCUGCCGACCCGGUUGGUUCCAGCUGGAAAAUGAGUGCCUGCUCCAAUGCAGAGAGGGAUAUUAUGCAGAAAUCUCCACUGGCCAGUGUAAGAGGUGCCACAAGAGCUGCAAGGCAUGCCGGGGUCCACAGCCCACAGACUGCCUGUCUUGCGAUAC
rnacentral:lncRNA from 1 species